rnacentral:rRNA from 1 species
UACGUAGGGGGCUAGCGUUGUCCGGAAUCAUUGGGCGUAAAGCGCGUGUAGGCGGUCCGGUAAGUCCGCUGUGAAAGUCGAGGGCUCAACCCUCGAAUGCCGGUGGAUACUGUCGGGCUUGAGUACGGGAGAGGCGAGUGGAAUUCCUGGUGUAGCGGUGAAAUGCGCAGAUAUCAGGAGGAACACCGAUUGCGAAGGCAGCUCGCUGGAACGGUACUGACGCUGAGACGCGAAAGCGUGGGGGAGCAAACAGG